GACGAACGCUGGCGGCGUGCUUAACACAUGCAAGUCGAACGGAAAGGCCUGCUUUCCCUUGUGGAUUGCGGGUACUCGAGUGGCGAACGGGCGAGUAACACGUGAGUGAUCUGCCCCCAACUUGGGUAUAAGCCUGGGAAACUGGGUCUAAUUCCCGAUAGGACUGCAGGGUGGUGCCUGUGGUGGAAAACGAUUUUCUAGUGGUUGGGGAUGAGCUCGCGGCCUAUCAGCUUGUUGGUGGGGUAAUGGCCUACCAAGGCGGCGACGGGUAGCCGGCCUGAGAGGGUGGACGGCCACAUUGGGACUGAGAUACGGCCCAGAAUCCUACGGGAGGCAGCAGUGGGGAAUAUUGCACAAUGGGCGGAAGCCUGAUGCAGCGACGCCGCGUGGGGGAUGACGGCCCUCGGGUGGUAAACUCCUUUCGACCGCGAGGAAGCCACCUGGUUGGAAGGGUGGUGACGGUAGUGGUAGAAGAAGCACCGGCUAACUACGUG
rnacentral:rRNA from 1 species